ACAGCAAUAUAGAAGGUCAGGCUGAAGACCUUACCCGAUUAGCUGAGAGGUGGUGCAUGGCCGUCGUCAGUUCGUACUGUGAAGCAUCCUGUUAAGUCAGGCAACGAGCGAGACCCACGUCCACAGUUGCCAGCAUACCCUCCGGGGUGAUGGGUACACUGUGGAGACCGCCGCUGCUAAAGGCGGAGGAAGGAGUGGGCAACGGUAGGUCAGUAUGCCCCGAAUCUCCCGGGCUACACGCGGGCUACAAUGGUUGGUACAAUGGGCAUCUACCCCGAAAGGGGAAGGAAAUCUCUUAAAGCCAAUCGUAGUUCGGAUUGAGGGCUGCAACUCGCCCUCAUGAAGCUGGAAUCCGUAGUAAUCGCCGUUUCAACAGAACGCGGUGAAUACGUCCCUGCUCCUU
rnacentral:rRNA from 1 species